rfam:Cryptobacterium curtum DSM 15641, complete genome.
GGAGCGGGUUGGACAACCGCGGGCGGAUGUAUCCGCAUGAGGAAAGUCCGGGCUUCAAUGGGCAGGAUGCCAGCUAACGGCUGGGCGAGGCGACUCGACGGAUAGUGCCACAGAAAAGAAAACUCCCCUGUUAUGCGACAAUAUGUCGCUACCGCAGGAGAAAAGCUGAAACGGUGCGGUAAGAGCGCACCAGUGCGUCGGCAACGACGUAGCUUGGAAAACCCCAUCCGAAGCAAACGUAAAUAGGAACGCCAUACGGUCGCCCAUCCGUGCGUUCGGGUUGCGUGCUUGAGAUGUCUGGCAACAGGCACCGUAGAUAAAUGGUUGUCUUUAACGACAGAACCCGGCUUACAGGCCCGCUCCUUUA